rnacentral:rRNA from 1 species
UUACCGUACGACGAGGGGGGCCCGAGGGCUGAGCGCUGACCCUUCUGAGGGGUCGUGCUACGCCCUCGGCGGCGUCCUCACACAAUCAAUCCAUCUCACCUUUUGUGCAUCACCGCGUGNCCCUCGAAAGGCGCGCCUGCGCCUUCUUUACACACUAGACGACCUUUAUGAUAUCGAGUGUACGAAGUGUCUUUGCCUUUGUAAUGCAAUCAAUACAACUUUCAACAACGGAUCUCUUGGCUCUCGCAUCGAUGAAGAACGCAUCGAAAUGCGAUACGUAAUGUGAAUUGCAGAAUUCAGUGAAUCAUCGAAUCUUUGAACUGCACCUUGCGCCCCUUGGCAUUCCGAGGGGCACACCCGUUUGAGUGUCGUGAAAUCCUCAACCCUUCUCCGUUUCUUUUUGAUUCGAGGGAAAGUGCCUUGGAAUCUGAAGGCUUUUGCUGGCCCCUCUUUUGAAGCCAGCUCCUCUUAAAUGCNUUAGCAGGGUCUCCUUAGCCGGAUCCCUUGACGUGAUAAGUUUUUACGUCCUGGNGCUUCUUGGCUCUAGCCCGCUUCCAGUCGNCUCGUCGAGACAAAACUGAAUCUGACCUUGACCUCAAAUCGGGGUGAGACUACCCGCUGAACUUAAGCAUAUC